CACGAAGUUAGCCGGGGCUUCUUCUGCGGGUACCGUCAUUAUCGUCCCCGCUGAAAGGAUUUUACAAUCCUAAGACCUUCAUCAUCCACGCGGCAUGGCUGCGUCAGGCUUUCGCCCAUUGCGCAAGAUUCCCCACUGCUGCCUCCCGUAGGAGUUUGGGCCGUGUCUCAGUCCCAAUGUGGCUGGCCAUCCUCUCAGACCAGCUACUGAUCGUCGCCUUGGUAGGCCAUUACCCCACCAACUAGCUAAUCAGACGCGGGCCGCUCUAAAGGCGAUAAAUCUUUCCCCCGAAGGGCACAUCCGGUAUUAGCUCAAGUUUCCCUGAGUUGUUCCGAACCUAAAGGCACGUUCCCACGUGUUACUCACCCGUCCGCCACUAAUCCCGAAGGAUCCGUUCGACUUGCAUGUGUUAAGCCUGCCGCCAGCGUUCGCUCUGAGCCAGGAUCAAACUCU
rnacentral:rRNA from 1 species